rnacentral:rRNA from 1 species
GACGAACGCUGGCGGCGUGCUUAACACAUGCAAGUCGAACGGAAAGGCCCUGCUUUUGUGGGGUGCUCGAGUGGCGAACGGGUGAGUAACACGUGAGUAACCUGCCCUUGACUUUGGGAUAACUUCAGGAAACUGGGGCUAAUACCGGAUAGGAGCUCCUGCUGCAUGGUGGGGGUUGGAAAGUUUCGGCGGUUGGGGAUGGACUCGCGGCUUAUCAGCUUGUUGGUGGGGUAGUGGCUUACCAAGGCUUUGACGGGUAGCCGGCCUGAGAGGGUGACCGGCAGCGCGGGGGUGAGGACACGGCGCAGGGUGGUGGGGGGGGUGGCGGGGGGGGCUCGGGAAGGGGGGGCGGGGGCGGGCGGGCGACGCGCGGGGUGCGGGUGGCUGGCCUUCGGGUGGCUGCGCGCUCCGGUCUGGGAGGAGGGGUGCGUGGCGGGAGUGGGAAAAGAAGCACAGGCUAACGACGGGCCAGCAGCCGCGGUAAGAGGCGGCACAGCACCCGUCGGACC